rnacentral:tRNA from 1 species
GGUGGCUCAAUGAUAGAGUCCUUGCCUUGUAUGCAUGAGGCCCUGAGUUCGAUUCCUCAGCACCA